GUUUCUGUAGGCCCGAGGAAGAGUACUUUUCGUGCUGGCAUUUUUCUGGCUAUCGAUAUUUCACAACAGGACCAAUCCAGUUGCUGCUUCCGCAAGCAUCGCUAAUAUCAGGACAUCAUGCCGCUGUUGACUGGAGCGAACUACCCGAUGGAUAUAGUGAAUCGCCAGAAAUAUCUGCUUUCAUUGAAGGGCUAUCACGUUGUAUUCGAUG